rnacentral:rRNA from 1 species
UACAGAGGGGGCAAGCGUUAUUCGGAAUUAUUGGGCGUAAAGGGCGCGUAGGCGGCAUCGCAAGUGGAAGGUGAAAUCCCUCGGCUUAACCGAGGAACUGCCCUCCAAACUGCGUUGCUUGGGGCCGGGAGAGGUGAGUGGAAUUCCCAGUGUAGCGGUGAAAUGCGUAGAUAUUGGGAGGAACACCAGUGGCGAAGGCGGCUCACUGGACCGGUUCUGACGCUGAGGCGCGAAAGCGUGGGGAGCAAACGGG